UUUCCGUAGGUGAACCUGCGGAAGGAUCAUUAUUGUAUAACCGAGGUGCGAGGGCUGUCGCUGACCCGAAAGGUCGUGCACGCCUGAGUGCCCUCACACACAUCCAUCUCACCCCUGUGUGCACCACCGCGUGGGUCCCCCUUUGGCUUGUUCGGAGGGGGGCUUACGUUUUCACACAAACUUUGUAUGCAGUGUAGAAUGUAUUUUUUGUUUUUGCGAUCACGCAAUCAAUACAACUUUCAACAACGGAUCUCUUGGCUCUC
rnacentral:misc_RNA from 1 species